GCCCGCCUAGCUCAAUCGGAUAGAGCGUCAGACUCUUAUGACUUGACAACAGGCGGGGUUAUCUGAAGGCUGCGAGUUCGACCCUCGCGGUGGGCU